rnacentral:lncRNA from 1 species
UUGUGAACCCGGAAAACAAUCGUUGUAAGGUUGUGGUUGGUGAGCCUUUGGGAAAACCAACUGGGUUGGAUUGUGAGCUCGUGAAAACAAUCGGUUGGUUCUAGUCGGUGAGCCUGUGAAAACCGACCGAGUUCGUUGUGAUCUCGCAAAACAACAAGUUCGGUUGUGAGCUUGUAAAACAACCGGCUGUAAUCUGAGGGAUUAUAGUGAAAUUUCCAAGAGGUCUUGGGGAGUGGAUGUAGGUGCUGAGAUGCACCGAACCACUAUACUUUUGUUGUGUUUGU